rnacentral:snRNA from 1 species
UCUGUUCUUACCAGUUUAAUAUCUGAUAUGUCCCCUACCCGGGGACUGCAUAUUAAAUGGAUUUUUGGAUCGACAGGAAAUUGACCUUAAAAUUUUGGGAGUCAAUU